rnacentral:rRNA from 1 species
CCUCACUGCUAUCGGGGUGGGACUAAAACAUGCGAGUCGAGCGCCUUCAAGCUAUGGUGAAGGCGCGGCGUACGGCUCAGUAACACGUGGCUAACCUACCCUUUGGACGGGGACAACCACGGGAAACUGUGGCUAAUCCCCGAUAGAUGAGGAGGCCUGGAAUGGUUUCUUAUCUAAAGGUGUUUAGAGCAUGCUUCUAGGCGUCGCCAAAGGAUGGGGCCGCGGCCGAUCAGGUUGUUGGUGAGGUAACGGCUCACCAAGCCUAUAACCGGUACGGGCCGUGAGAGCGGGAGCCCGGAGAUGGGCACUGAGACAAGGGCCCAGGCCCUACGGGGCGCAGCAGUUGCGAAAACUCCGCAAUGCGCGAAAGCGUGACGGGGCUACCCCGAGUGCCGUCCGCUGAGGACGGCUUUUCCACGGUGUAAGGAGCCGUGGGAAUAAGGAGAGGGCAAGACUGGUGUCAGCCGCCGCGGUAAUACCAGCUCUCCGAGUGGUGGGGACGAUUAUUGGGCUUAAAGCGUUCGUAGCCGGCUCGACAAGUCUUUCGUUAAAUCCAACGAUCUAAUCGUUGGGCUGCGGGAGAUACUGUUGGGCUAGGGGGCGGGAGAAGCCGACGGUACUCUCGGGGUAGGGGUGAAAUCCUAUAAUCCCGGGAGGACCACCAGUGGCGAAGGCGGUCGGCUAGAACGCGCUCGACGGUGAGGGACGAAAGCUGGGGGAGCGAACCGGAUUAGAUACCCGGGUAGUCCCAGCUGUAAACGAUGCGGGCUAGGUGUUGGAGCGGUUACGAACCACUUCAGUGCCGCACGGAAGCAAUUAAGCCCGCCGCCUGGGAAGUACGGCCGCAAGGCUGAAACUUAAAGGAAUUGGCGGGGGAGCACCACAAGGCGUGAAGCUUGCGGUUU